CCCAAUAUUCCCGCCUCCUCCACCUCCAACCUCCUGCUGCCGGCCGACGUCCUCAUCCACCGGUUGAGCACGCCGUCUCUCGCCAGGAGGCAUCGACCACGAACUCCCUGUCACCAUUGCCGCCAUGGCUUGCGGGUUCAGGUCGUUGUCGACCUGUUUCUCUCGGUCGCCGGCCUCUUUCGCCCAUGGUCAGAUCUGCGAGUCGCCGGCCCUGACCGUCUGCCAUCCUGAGGGCCAUGCCCCAAUCCGAGUCUGGCCCGGUUGGCUGUCCGCCCGUCCGCCACUUCGUGCGCCGCUGGCAUGGGGUCGAUAGCCACCUUGCCGCACAGUCCAUCCACCAGCGAGCCGCGAUCCAUCCACCCAGUUCGAUAUCCAUCAGGCACCAUCCUUCAGGAGAGCAGAGAGGAUUGCUCCUGAUGUGUUUGAUGCGUGAGAGAACAGAGAGGUCUGACAGAUCACAGGGUAUGCAGUGUACAUAUGAGCAUUGGGGAGAGAGGUAGCAGAGAUACUGGGAAAAGAUGUUCUCUCGAUGGAGAAGACACAGUGCAGGGAGUGUUGUUUGCCACUGCUUGUGCAGUUCUGCUGUUUUGCUACUAUUAUGAAUAUAAAUAUAUGAUCAUUUCUAUUGCAUUGCAAAAAUAAUGUCCACACUUCCAUUCCAUUGCAAUUAUUUUUACAAUGACAACAAGGUUCGCUGGGCCGACCAGAAGAGCUAUUUCAAGGGUGUCCUGUUCAAGGUAAAUCACGCUCUACAUGAUUUUCAUGAAUUGCAGUUUCAUUAGCCCAUUGCCCUUGUGUCCUCUUGUGUUUCUACGACUUGGUAGUUUCUGAUUGGCCAGUUGCAGAGUUUGGGCGAGGAAACUGUGGUUAUGACUUAUGUGGUCCAAGGGCGAUGGCCUGAUAAUUCUCUACAAAGGAACUUUGCGGUUGUGAAAACGCAUCAGUGGAGUGGACGUACACUAUUUUUGUAGUUACAAUUAUGUUCAUCUUAAUCCAGCGCAUCAAGGAUGCCGACGACCUAUGGGCUUCAACGAUGCCGACGACCUUUGCGGCUUCGCACCAGAAGCAGCCAACAUUGCGCCUCAGUCGGCUAGGGAGAUAACCUCUUCACUGGCAGGCAUCAGGAUGAUUCCACGUCGUACCUGUCAGGUUUAGCUCAACUCGCUGUUAUUGAGGUAGUAUGUGAAUCAUCCGAGCUUGCUAAACUUUUCAUAUACGUAAAUAUUGCAUGCCUGAUUAUUUUUAUUAUUGCUUAUUACUUAAGAUUUUGUCUGCUAAUCGGCUCAGCAAAAAUUAUAGUAGUGUUCCCUUGAUAUUUCUUUUUUAUAGCCUUUAUUGCAGUCUGCACCCCUGCAAGAAUGAAAUUAAUUCAUGUUCUUAAAUACUUAUUUAAAGCAUUUAUAUAAAAGGAAUGUAGUGCCCUGUUUAGAUGAGAAGAUUAUUAUUCCUCCAACUUGUGCUUAGCAUGCGUGAGUCAGGAUUCAGGAGGCCUUCACAUACAUCAUACAUACACACCACUCCGGCUUAAUCUACUUAUUCUUUCUCUAGGAUCCAUUUUAGAGCAUACACCUUUUACUUUUAAUACACUACAUUUGUGAGGUGCAGGAUUUCUUACACAACACUAUAAGGACUUGAGGUGAUUCGUGGGUUGUAGGGCAUGGGGAGCUUCACAAUUAUUAGCUCCAUAUUGAAUGUAUCAAGAUUGUUGAUUGUUUGGUUACACAAAGUCAUGGUAGCAAAAGUUGUAUGUAUAGCUUGUGAGUUGUGAUACAUGGUGAUGCAUCUUUGCGAUGUUAAUUGUGCGCCCCAUUUAUUGAUGCUUUGCUAUUUUCUGAUUUAUUGGAUUACAUUAGGCUUAAAAUAUAACGAGAAAUAAUGGUUAUAUACGUAAGUUAAUUAACAUGGUUUAUUGCUUCCGUAAUAGAGUUACGACAAUGGAUGAAAUAUGCUUAAUGUCUAACUUACUUUCAUGUUUUGUUGCAUAUGGAUCCAGAGCCGAUGGCCAAGUUGUUUUUCUCUACGUGUGUUACUUGACCGUCAAUUCUGGGAUGAAAUUGACUAUAGUGCUGUUGUAUGUAAUGUGUUUUUGUUAAGUCUGUAUGGUUGAAAAAUCCAUUAUGUGUGCAUGUUUGAUAUGAGAUAUGGUGCUCAUAUGGAAAGAACUAUAUAUGCAAAAGCUAUAUUCAGGCUAAAUUAAGAUCUGUGCUACAUAAUUGCAUGUUCAUUGUAUUAAAAUAAUUGUGCCCUAACUAGCAUGAUGCAGAUAAAUUGUUUCUAUGAUUAUUAUACGUGUGUUCCACGUGCAUUCUAACUAGUAUUUGUUUAGAAUUUUUUAGAGUUACAGAAGUUUAUUAAACUUCCAGAUUACUACAGACUGUCCUGUUUUUGACGGAUUCUGUU